UUCUAUUGCAGUGAGAAUGAUAGACUGUGAAUUAUUUAUUUUAUUCUAGGAAAAGAAGAAUGCCAGGCAAGAGGUGAAAACAGAAAAUAAGUGUAGCUAUUCCACAAGCAACUUAACUGAAGCAGCCUCAGCACCUGUAUAUAGCAUUCUUAUAUCUUCUCUCGGGUAUCCAUUACUGUGAAGCCAGAGCUCUGCUUCCAGACUGCUCACAUGCCACCCCCAGACCAUGAAAGAUAUUCCUACAGUCACCAUGGUAUCUAAGCUCAGCAGAGAAACUGCAUGAGCACUGCCCACUUCUUUGGAGUUCUCUGUGUUCAAGAUAAGAAGCUCCUGUACACCAGAGAUGUGUGCAGAAUUUCCCUAGCCUUAUGCUCUGAGGUAUCUUAUUUGAAGGAAAGCCCUGUUUGAAUAGGUAGCAUAAGAAAGGAUUUGCUUUCUGCUCCAGUCCAUUUUUGUUUAGUUGAAGUUUCCUGAGGGCUGGGAAGAAUUAUCUUCAAGAGCAAGAAUCUGAAGACUAUGGACUGGAAUAGGCAACUGUAUUAAUUGGCUCUGCUGUCAAAAUAUUUCACUGGAAGUCACAUGUCUAUUAAAGUCUCCUCCUGCCUUAUUUGGUUAUGACUGUGCUGCAGAAGGAUAAUGAGAAGCAAUAUUAGCUGUUCACAAUUAAU
rnacentral:lncRNA from 14 species